rnacentral:lncRNA from 1 species
GUCAUUGCCCAAGUCUACAUUUCAGAAGCUCAUCCAAGGAAUCGGUAUGCGUAAAUUAUCUGAGUUGAAUCGCUUGUAGUUCUCUUAUUUAAAAGUUAUGUCUAACUCAACGGGAGUAUCUAGAAGCAUACUUACAUGAUCUUAAUGUACUAUUUUUCCUACGAUUAUGAGCAUUUUUUCCCACUGGAUUUUUGCUACCUAACGAGGUUUUAUUAAGGCAUCCAUCCUGGGAUGAUCAUACUCCGUUGAGUUUACUGCCUUCGUCCAGUUUGACGUUCGUUUUAGACAUUAUGCAUACUUCUCACUUUUCUCCUUAGUCUAUGGGUUUUCCCCAUGCCUUCGGUUUUACCAUAGCGAGGUUUUGUGAGUUUUAUUAUAAAUGCAUACUUCACUUGAAUUUGAGACUCGUGAUCACCCGUUGUGCCGAUGACUUCAUCAACUAUUCUACCUUAUCUGCUGAAGAUCUGAUGCGAUG